GUGCCUAUUGUGAAAAUCACAGAGGGUGCUUUGCAUGUAUGCAGAGUUGUGAAAAUCCUGUUUGAAUGCAGUGGCGUCGCAACAGAUUUUCGAUUAGGAGGGUCGGGUUGAACGGUCAGUCAAGGUGAUCCCCCAAAAAACUGAAAAGUCCCCCGAUUUCGGCCCCUAUUUUUUAGCCGGCGUUAAAACAAGAUUUUAAAAUAUUCCUGCUGUGGUGUUUCCGUAGUCUGUGCGCUGCUGUGGGGGGCGGGGGAGGGUGAGCCACUGCUGUGGCUGUGGUGUCCCACAGCCAGGGUGCUGUGGGACUGUUAGGGUGAGCCAGUGCUCUGCAGUGUGGCCGGAUGAGCUACUGGACGUUGACAGCCAAGCGGAAGUGGACAACCACAGCAAGCUCAUCAUCUCAGACGUCGCUGUCAGUGGAGAUUCUGUCAGCCUCUGCAGGCGUUCUGGGAUUAAGUGGAGCUUCUGACAGGCAUGGAACCCGAAGCGUUCCGGGGCAAGGCCCUGGGUAACCUGGAGAGGCUGAAGGAGCUCAUCUGCAAUGAACAUCGGUGCCCGCAUGAUCGUGCCAUUUGGCAUCUGGCAUUCCUGCUGGGGGAAGACCUCGACGUCCUCUUGGCUGGGGGAAACGUCGGCAUCAGGAUGGUGGACGCCGGCGUCAUCGUAUCGGACGAAGCCCAGCUGAUCCCUGAAGCCAACGGUGACGUGAAACUGGUCCUGUGGGUUCUGGCCCACAUGGUCUUUGCCGCCAAAUUCCCUUCAGGGUAUGGGCGGCUGGGUUCCGUCCUGUACAGCAAAGUUUGCGGCUUCCGCGUGCAGGUCACAAAGGUCACGGAGCGUGUGCUUCAUAAGAUCUACAAGUAGUGAGACGUUAGCAACGGCCGCUGACCGGCAAUGAAGGAGGCGGGGAGGGGGGUCGGUUGAUUUUUUUUUUUUUUUGCCCACUGCGAGUGACCCAGGACAGGUGAGAGGCAGGUUCAUCGCCAUGGCAGAUUGUGUGGUCCGCUGACAGGAGUACAGCUGUAAUACACGACCGUUUUCCACUCCUG